UACGUAGGUUCCCAGCGUUGUCCGGAUUUACUGGGCGUAAAGAGCGCGCAGGCGGUCGUUCAAGUCGAGUGUGAAAGCCCCCGGCUCAACUGGGGAGGGUCACUCGAUACUGAUCGACUUGAAGGCAGGAGAGGGAAGCGGAAUUCCCGGUGUAGUGGUGAAAUGCGUAGAUAUCGGGAGGAACACCAGUGGCGAAGGCGGCUUCCUGGCCUGUUCUUGACGCUGAGGCGCGAAAGCUAGGGGAGCAAACGGG
rnacentral:rRNA from 1 species